rnacentral:rRNA from 1 species
GACGAACGCUGGCGGCGUGCUUAACACAUGCAAGUCGAACGGAAAGGCCCUGCUCUUGUGGGGUGCUCGAUAGGCGAAGGGGGGAGUAACACGUGAGUAACAUGCCCUUGUAUGUGGGAGAAAAUCAGGAAAAAGGGGCGAAUACAGGAGAGGAGCUCUUGCAGCAUGGGGGGGGAUGGAGAGAGUCGGCGGUUGGGGCUGGACUAGAGGCUUAUGAGCUUGAUGGGGAGGUAGUGGCGUACAAGGGCUUUGACGGGUAGCCGGCGUGAGAGGGUGACCGGGCACAUUGCGACUGCGAUACGGCCCAGUCUGCUACGGGACGCAGCAGUCGGGAAUCUUGCACAAUGGGCGGGCGCCUGAUGCAGCAACGCCGCGUGCGGGAUGAUGGCCUUCUGGUUGUAAACCACUUUCGCCUGUGCCGAGGCGUGAGUGACGGUAAUGGGUCAAGAAGCACCGGCUAACUACGUG